rnacentral:rRNA from 1 species
UACGAAGGGAGCUAGCGUUGUUCGGAAUUACUGGGCGUAAAGGGCGCGUAGGCGGUUUUUGUAAGUCAGAUGUGAAAGCCCCGGGCUUAACCUGGGAGGUGCAUUUGAAACUGCAAGGCUAGAGAUCGAGAGAGGAAAGUGGAAUUAACGAGUGUAGAGGUGAAAUUCGUAGAUAUUCGUAAGAACACCAGUGGCGAAGGCGACUUUCUGGACUCGAUACUGACGCUAAGGCGCGAAAGCGUGGGGAGCCAAACAGG